UCUGCCAUAGGUUUAACUUAUACCUCUAUGUAUUGUAAGAAAGGUGAUUACUGGACUCACAUUAAUGCAAACUUGAACUAAAAUGAGGUUGUAACUUGUGGGUUGUUGGGUUGCAAAUCAGAAACAAACAGCUUUGGAUUUUUUUAAUCCCAUAAGAGCUAGAAACACAGGUUUUAUUCAACAAAACAUUACUGUUUAACCAAGCACAGUGCCUGCUGUUAUUUCAAAAUAAUUUUAUGUCAUUUCAGAUAAAAUGCAGCAUUCCAGUGCAUCCCAACCAUGCCUUUACAGUCAAGGUUUCUGACGGAGCUGAGUUUCUCUCUGACAGUCUGCUGAGAGUGUUUGCAAAGUGAUCGGGGCAACAGGGCACAAAAGCUAAAGGAUGUAGCUGCCAUGAUGACAUUAAGGAUGACAUUAAUGCUCGAAGGGAGUCCCUCAUCAAAGUGCUCCGCAUCUGAGUGAAAGACAAUUGCAACAUCUUGGUGCAGGAGUUCAUGGACUUGACUGAGGCCACUGCACAGAUUGAGAAAACCACAAUGAACAUCUGUCUCCAGAGAUGCGCCAGGCAAUGACUUUUCUGAUGUUGGCAUCAUCAUCGAGGGUAUAGUAGUUCUUCAAGAUCUGGAUAACGCGACCUUUGCAGUAGCCAUGCUGUUUGGACCUUUUUUAUUCCUUCAAUAUGAGUUACCCAUCACAACUCUGCUACACUUUUGAGGUGAUUCAAAGGGUGGUAAUGGAGUUGGAUGCAACUCAGCUCUCAAGAAAAGCUCACAACUAAGACAAAACUGCUCCUGCAAGGAAAGCUCACUGUUAUGCAUGUGAGGGGAUCAGCUCUAGGUGAGAGGACAUGUAAAUCUUGCACUUGUUCUGCUGCAUUUUGGAAGCUCAAUUCCAGGAUCAGAUCGCAGGGUUUAUUUUUAAAUACUCUGCAACUGCCAUGAGGACAGGCCCUUUUUUUUGUUGUUGUUGUUUGUUUUUCCUUUUGCUCUGUACAAGUUCUCUGUUUGUCUGUUUGGCAGCAUUUUUCAAUUUCUGUUUGUAUUUUUUCUUUCUUUUACUAGUGAAGAGAUGUAGCGUGAACAGUUAUACAGUCUAAAUAUCCCAUAUGGGUCAUGUGAAAUGGUAUUUUCAGUUUCAUUAAGUUGAAGUAAAGAACGUUGAAUAUUUCUAAGUGUGCUGUGCUGUU